rnacentral:rRNA from 1 species
CACGUAGGGCGCAAGCGUUGUCCGGAAUUAUUGGGCGUAAAGAGCUCGUAGGCGGACUGUCACGUCUGCUGUGAAAAGCUGGGGCUUAACCCUGGCCUUGCAGUGGAUACGGGCAGACUAAAGGUAGGUAGGGGAGAAUGGAAUUCCCGGUGUAGCGGUGAAAUGCGCAGAUAUCGGGAGGAACACCGGUGGCGAAGGCGGUUCUCUGGGCCGUUACUGACGCUGAGGAGCGAAAGCGUGGGGAGCGAACAGG